rnacentral:sRNA from 1 species
AUUAUUUUGCUUAGGAGUGGUGCAGUAUUCUAGUCAGUACAGCUAAUUUUGAAGGCGGGGCUAAAAAUCCGUCAAAGGGCAUAUCGAUGAAGUUCCUGGUUUCGGCUUCUGACGCCCAGUCGGGGGUCGUUUCUGGGAGUAAGGGGGAUGGGGCGAUCUGCAAUGGCAUGCAGGCGUUGACCCUACCCCCGUGGAGACUUGGACAACAAAUGUUGAACAAGAUUAACCUGCAUUGUGGUGCAAGCUACUUGCAGCGUAGCCUGCCUUGAGUGAAAUAGGAGGAACAUGGUUGUGGUUCUAGCUCCUAUGGGCCCAUGGGAAAUAGGCUUUGUCGUGGAAACCUAUUUUGCAAAAGAGGCUAGAAAUUAGUAUGGCUGUUGAGGAAAUCUCCUAGACUGUUCUCUGUGAGAGGUAUAUUCGGGAUUACAGUGCGGACUAAGUGGUAAUCUAGCCCUAUUUUUGGCGACAUUAUAGAGAUGAGAUUGAAGGGAAACCGCUGGACUGGCGACAGACAGUUCUUAUCUGGGAAAUCCUGCUAGACCUUAAGCCGUAAAAUUUACUUAAUAUAUCACCACUCAAAUGCUGAUAGCU